GAUGAACGCUAGCGGCAGGCUUAAUACAUGCAAGUUGAGGGGCAGCAUGAUAUACGCGAGUAUAUUGAUGGCGACCGGCGGACGGGUGAGUAAUAGGUAGGAGACCUACCUCAUACAGGGGGAUAGCAUAGAGAAAUCUGUGGUAAUACCCCAUGAGGUUAUAUGAAUAGAGGCAUAUAAUCAAAGCAUAAGCGAUUAUGCGGUAUGAGAGGGGCCUACUGACCAUUAGCUAGUUGGUGAGGUAAGGGCUCACCAAGGCGAAGAUGGUUAGGGGUUUUGAGAGAGAGACCCCCCACAUUGGAACUGAGAGACGGUCCAGACUCCUACGGGAGGCAGCAGUAGGGAAUAUUGGGCAAUGGGCGAAAGCCUGACCCAGCCAUGCCGCGUGAAGGAAGACGGCCUUAUGGGUUGUAAACUUCUUUACUACGCGAAUAGAGGUUAGUACGAGAUACUAAUAGGAAGGUAGUGUAGUAAAAAGCACCGGCUAACUCCGUGACCC
rnacentral:rRNA from 1 species